rnacentral:rRNA from 1 species
UACGUAGGGUGCGAGCGUUGUCCGGAAUUAUUGGGCGGAAAGAGCUCGUAGGCGGUGUGUCGCGUCGGCCGUUAAAACCUGCAGCUUAACUGUGGGCUUGCGGUCGAUACGGGCAUCACUGGAGUUCGGCAGGGGAGACUGGAAUUCCUGGUGUAGCGGUGAAAUGCGCAGAUAUCAGGAGGAACACCGGUGGCGAAGGCGGGUCUCUGGGCCGAUACUGACGCUGAGGAGCGAAAGCGUGGGGAGCGAACAGG